GCUUAAGCUCGUCAGCUGUUUCAUGUCAUCCGAAUUAUUUGAGGAAAACGAAACCAGCAACAUGGGCAAACAUAAAACUCAAAUGCAAGAUAACGUUUUCGUGGAAUUCAUGAAAUUGAACCAGGAUUUAGGAUGCUGGUCCACCUAUUAAGGUCAUUGCCGGUUGGAAAAAAGUAUGGCCCRAUUGGAAAAUGCAUAUUCGCAAAAAACUGGGGCACAAUAAGAAGGAAGGCAAAGCCACCGGGGGAGGUCCAUAUGAUCAGACCGUUAUUUUACCAAUUGAGGAGGAAGUUGCAAAAAUAUGUGGUCUGUUCGAAAUGGUGAAUGGGUUUUAAGGUGCCCUUACUUUUGGAGUACCGGAAGAGGACACAGAAGCAGAAAAUGUAUCACAACGCACUGAAGAGCCAAUACAAACCGAAACACCAAUUGUUGAGGAGGUAGCUGAGCCUACCCCAAAACGUCGAAAGUUAGGGCCCCAAACAUCAAAUGUGCAGUCUUUGGACGAAGUGUGUGCUGCGCAACUGGACACCAUGAAAACCAUUGCAACCAGUCUACAGAAAGUUAUAACACAUCAAGAGGAGCAUAACCGCCAACAGCUUGAGCACCACCGCAUAAUUCAAAAAAUUGAGGCAGAAAAGUUAGAAGUUCUAAAAAGGCUGAUAAAUAAUAACGUUUGAGGUUCUAAACUUUAACUUAACAUGGUUUAUGUCAUAUAUAAAUAUAACCAUAUCUAUUGUAAAAAAUGUGGCACAAACAACGAUGGGAACAUUGGAUAUUUAUUUUUGCAUCUCGCUGUAGUAUACAAAUCAAUAUUCCAAUAAAACAUUAAUAAU